rnacentral:misc_RNA from 1 species
AGCAACCAUGUCAAGUUUGGGCUUGAGCUCAAUUCAACAUAUGGAGAAGCUGAGAAAAAUUGGAGUAAUUUGGUUGCAAUAUUCUGUGGGAGAAGUAGGUCCACUUCUUGCUUUUUGAGAAGGUUUGGUUUGCAAUCCAUGGAGGAUCAAUGCACAGAGAGUGUUACUAAGCUAUUUGUGGCAUUUUGUGGGUCAAAGGAGCAUCUCAGGAACUAAAACUCAAAGAGGCCCCCCUUCUCAUGUGAUGUGUUUCAUACUUCAUACCUAUCACCUUUGAUAUCAUAAUGUAACAACUACUCUUUAUUAGUGGUACAUCUGUAUUGAAUUACUGAAUUCUCGUAGAAUAAUCAUUGCUAGAGGUAGGUUUAAUCUAUAUUUUUU